rnacentral:rRNA from 1 species
UUGUGAACCAUGGUUAAGGAACUCGGCAAAAUGCCCCCGUAACUUCGGGAGAAGGGGGGCCGGAUGCGUUACAUGGCUUGCCCAUGGAAGCGUUGAUGGCCGCAGAGACCAGGCCCAAGCGACUGUUUACUAAAAACACAGGUCCGUGCGAAGAAGUAAUUCGAUGUAUACGGACUGACGCCUGCCCGGUGCUGGAACGUUAAGGGGACAGGUUAGCUGGUUUAGGCCGGCGAAGCUUUGAACUUAAGCGCCAGUAAACGGCGGUGGUAACUAUAACCAUCCUAAGGUAGCGAAAUUCCUUGUCGGGUAAGUUCCGACCUGCACGAAUGGCGUAACGACUUGGGCGCUGUCUCAACCAUGGACUCGGCGAAAUUGCAUUACGAGUAAAGAUGCUCGUUACGCGCAGCAGGACGGAAAGACCCCGGGACCUUUACUACAACUUGGUAUUGGUGGUCGGUACAACUUGUGUAGGAUAGGUGGGAGACUGUGAAAUCCGGACGCCAGUUCGGGUGGAGUCAUCGUUGAAAUACCACUCUGGUUGUUCUGGCUGUCUAACUUCGGUCCAUUAUCUGGAUCAGGGACAGUGCCUGGUGGGUAGUUUGACUGGGGCGGUCGCCUCCUAAAAGGUAACGGAGGCGCUCAAAGGUUCCCUCAGCCUGGUUGGCAAUCAGGUGUCGAGUGUAAGUGCACAAGGGAGCUUGACUGUGAGACAGACAUGUCGAGCAGGGACGAAAGUCGGAACUAGUGAUCCGGCGGUGGCAUGUGGGAGCACCGUCGCUCAACGGAUAAAAGGUACCCCGGGGAUAACAGGCUGAUCUUCCCCAAGAGUCCAUAUCGACGGGAUGGUUUGGCACCUCGAUGUCGGCUCGUCGCAUCCUGGGGCUGGAGUAGGUCCCAAGGGUUGGGCUGUUCGCCCAUUAAAGCGGCACGCGAGCUGGGUUUAGAACGUCGUGAGACAGUUCGGUCCCUAUCCGCUGCGCGCGCAGGAGACUUGAGAAGGGCUGCCCCUAGUACGAGAGGACCGGGGUGGACGAACCUCUGGUGUGCCAGUUGUUCCGCCAGGAGCACGGCUGGUUGGCUACGUUCGGGAGUGAUAACCGCUGAAAGCAUCUAAGCGGGAAGCACGCUUCAAGAUGAGGUCUCCCACCGAGUUAAUCGGGUAAGGCCCCCAGUAGACCACUGGGUUGAUAGGCCAGAGGUGGAAGCGCCGUAAGGUGUGGAGCUGACUGGUACUAAUAGGCCGAGGGCUUGUCU